UGAAGCAAUAGCCGGUAAUUCCAACUAAUGAGGGUCCCUGGCCAAUAUGUUAUGUAAUCAAUGUAGACGACUCCUGAGACCAUGGGUAAAGCAAAGCCAAGUUAAAAGUCUUGGUAUCUCAUAAAAUGAAGUUCCCAUCUCAAACUGGCAAUCACAUUGACAAAAAAGAAGUUAUGUCAGAAUAUAAUGUGUGUAUGAGACUAUGCGUCCAUGUCUUUUUUGUUCUUCCUGCUAUUCACAGCUUUCAACUGAAACAUUGUGCAAAUUAUUUAGUGUUUUAACAGCUUUUGAUAGUGAAUGGGAUGCAGCUGGUAUUUUCUUAACUAAUGGAUCAUCAGUUUAGCUG
rnacentral:misc_RNA from 1 species